AUGUUUAAAGAUGAAAUGAAAGAUCUUAAGGUUGGAGGAAAUCGUGGAGGAAACUUAUAAAAUUACUCGAAACUGACUCCAACGCUCACCAAGGUAAGGAUAAGUCUUUAAUUGUACACCGUAAUGGAAAAUGUGUGGAUUUUUCUGGUUGAGAAAGUGAUUAAGAUGCAAGUCGUUUAUUUAUUAUAGACAUAUAUGGGCAUGUUUGUAAUAAAGGACGCGUGGAAAUGCUGGUUAUAAAUUGAUGGUGUAUCAAUGAGAAGAAAACAUAUUUUUAGCCGACCAUGAGUGGGUAGCGACUUUGACUCAAGUUAUGUAGCUGUAAUGAAUUUACAAUGGUUUAAUAACUCCUUUAAAUGUGGAUUUUUGUUGAAUUACCUACCUGAAGUGGUAGUGGACCAUUGGAGAAAUUUACCUACC